AGAAACCUCUGUGAGUGUUAUAGUUGUGAAGCGUGCCAGUUAUGAAGUUCUACGUUCCAUCCGUAACGUGCCGAAAAUCAUGACUUGAAUCGCUAACAUCCACAACGAACUUAUAGAAUAUAUAUCACUUAGAGCAUUUUCUAUUCUCUAAGACUCCAGAUAAAUAGAGAACUUAGAUUUGUCUUUUUUUCUUCUUCAAAUUAGAUAUAAAAAUUUUUACACAUUUUAUAGCUGUUUAUAUUGGAUGGUGAAUAGUGUACCACGCCGGUGCCGUCUUCCCUAAUGGCGGGUAUUCGAACCGUAGUUCUGAACUCUGUUUAUUCUCGGUGUGCAACUAUCCUCUGUAUUUAUACUAUCAUCAAUCAAAUAGGUAAGUGUAUUAUAUUCAAGUUCUCUGCUUUCUUCCUUAUGAGGUAAAAAAUUCUUAUAUUCUAACUUUUUUGCAAUCUUAAUUUUUGCUGUCAGGUACCUUUUCAUGAACCACUCAUACAUUUAAAUUAAAUUCAUUUUGCUAUGUAAUAAGCUUUUAUAGAGAUAUUCAAAUGCAACUUUAAACGUUUAUUUAGCCGCGUUAGCAAUCCACUAGUCACAAUUUUUUUCAUUGAUUUUAAACUUUGAUCUUAUAUUAGAAAUCAACUGACCACAUUUUUGAGUUAACAAUGUUUACACGUGAUUGAAUAGGAAAUACGCGUGAUUUAAUAAAAUUAAUGAGUUUACACGCGAUUUAAUAAAAAUUUAAUAGGAAAUUAACGUUUAAACUAUAAUAUAUUUGAAGUAACGACUUCAUUUGAAACUGUCAACUUUUUUUAGGAAGACCAUUUAAAAAUUCAUAGUUGAAAUUUUGCAAUUCCAGCAAUAAGGCAUUUAAAAAAAAAAAGGUGCUAUUUGCGCGUAGAAAAAACACGACUUCCUUUCAGCCUUUAAAAGAAGGAGUAGCCCUUAAAAUUUACUCUUUACAUAGCCUUACCGCAAAACUUGGCAAUCUUUCUCGCUAAAUGGAUGUUUUCAAAGAUACGAAAAUAAUGUAUUUUUUGUUACUGUUAUAAUUUAUUUUUCUGAGAAUAAAGCUGUUAAUACGCGAUACAAGUGGUGAAGAUUUUUUCCCUUUAUCUUUGGUGGCGCCAGAACUAAAACUUGUACAGUUAAAAGUGGAGGAAAAACCUCUGGGUUUUACCGUCUGAGUUAAAACAACCCAUGUGUGAACAAACAUACAAUUUUAUGAUUAUCUGUUUUCUUUUUUUUAUUUUUUUUUAUUU